UAAAGGGACAGUAGCUACUAACCUAGACUCUCAGGUUAUUAAAGGGACAGUAGCUACAGACCUAGACUCUCAGGUUAUUAAAGGGACAGUAGCUACUGGCCUAGACUCUCAGGUUAUUAAAGGGACAGUAGCUACUGGCCUAGACUCUCAGGUUAUUAAAGGGACAGUAGCUAUUAACAUAGACUCUCAGGUUAUUAAAG